UAUAUACUCCCUCCGUUCCAAAUUACUCGUCGCUGAAAUGGAUGUAUCUAGAACUAAAAUACAUCUAGAUACAUCCAUACGUGAGACAAGUAAUUCGGAAUGGAGGGAGUACAUA
rnacentral:pre_miRNA from 1 species